ACUCAUUUGGUGGAAUGGUAGACACGACAGACUUAAAAUCUGUUUUUCUUUGAGAGUAUUGGUUCAAGUCCGAUAAUGAGUA
rnacentral:tRNA from 1 species